GAGGGAAUAGCACAAUGGUUAGAGUACAUGCUUAGCAUGCAUGAGGCCCCAGGUUCAAUCCCUAGUACCUCCA
rnacentral:tRNA from 1 species